rnacentral:rRNA from 1 species
AGUCUGUUCGACUUUUAAAUCUUUACAUGAUCUGAGUUCAAACCGGUGUGAGCCAGGUUGGUUUCUAUCUUUAAUAAAUUGAAAUAUUUUAGUACGAAAGGACCAAAUAUU